ensembl:rRNA 5S_rRNA 5S ribosomal RNA
GUCUACGGCCAUACCACCCUGAACGCGCCCGAUCUCGUCUGAUCUCGGAAGCUAAGCAGGGUUGGGCCUGGUUAGUACUUGGAUGGGAGACUCAAAUGAUAGGAUUUCACC